UUAUGGCUCAGGAUGAACGCUAGCGGCAGGCUUAACACAUGCAAGUCGAGGGGCAGCGCGGAGUAGCAAUACUCUGGCGGCGACCGGCGCACGGGUGCGUAACGCGUAUGCAACCUACCCUCCACAGGGGGAUAACGGAGUGAAAACUCCACUAAUACCCCGUACUACCGCGAGGCCGCAUGGCCCUGCGGUGAAAGCUUCGGUGGUGAAGGAUGGGCAUGCGUGACAUUAGGUAGUUGGCGGGGCAACGGCCCACCAAGCCGACGAUGUCUAGGGGAGCUGAGAGGCUUAUCCCCCACACUGGUACUGAGACACGGACCAGACUCCUACGGGAGGCAGCAGUGAGGAAUAUUGGUCAAUGGGAGGAAUCCUGAACCAGCCAUGCCGCGUGCCGGGAGGAAGGCCCUAUGGGUUGUAAACCGCUUUUGCACGGGAGUAAUAAGGUGGGUGCGCCCUCCGAUGAGAGUACCGUGCGAAUAAGCAUCGGCUAACUCCGUGCCAGCAGCGGC
rnacentral:rRNA from 1 species